rnacentral:rRNA from 1 species
AACGAACGCUGGCGGCAUGCCUAACACAUGCAAGUCGAACGAGACCUUCGGGUCUAGUUGCGCACGGGUGCGUAACGCGUGGGAACCUGCCCUUAGGUUCGGAAUAACUCAGAGACAUUUGAGCUAAUACCGGAUAAUGUCCUCGGACCAAAGAUUUAUCGCCUUUGGAUGGGCCCGCGUAGGAUUAGCUUGUUGGUGGGGUAAUGGCCUACCAAGGCGACGAUCCUUAGCUGGUCUGAGAGGUUGAUCAGCCACACUGGGACUGAGACACGGCCCAGACUCCUACGGGAGGCAGCAGUGGGGAAUAUUGGACAAUGGGCGAAGGCCUGAUCCAGCAAUGCCGCGUGAGUGAUGAAGGCCUUAGGGUUGUAAAGCUCUUUUACCAGGGAUGAUAAUGACGGUACCUGGAGAAUAAGCUCCGGCUAACUCCGUG